UACGAAGGGGGCUAGCGUUGUUCGGAAUUACUGGGCGUAAAGCGCACGUAGGCGGAUAUUUAAGUGAGGGGUGAAAUCCCAGGGCUCAACCCUGGAACUGCCUUUCAUACUGGGUAUCUCGAGUUCGAGAGAGGUGAGUGGAAUUGCGAGUGUAGAGGUGAAAUUCGUAGAUAUUCGCAGGAACACCAGUGGCGAAGGCGGCUCACUGGCUCGAUACUGACGCUCAUGCA
rnacentral:rRNA from 1 species